AUUGAACGCUGGCGGCAUGCUUUACACAUGCAAGUCGAACGGUAACAGGCCUUCGGGCGCUGACGAGUGGCGAACGGGUGAGUAAUGCAUCGGAACGUGCCCAGUCGUGGGGGAUAACGUAGCGAAAGCUACGCUAAUACCGCAUACGAUCUAUGGAUGAAAGCGGGGGAUCGCAAGACCUCGCGCGAUUGGAGCGGCCGAUAUCAGAUUAGGUAGUUGGUGGGGUAAAGGCUCACCAAGCCAACGAUCUGUAGCUGGUCUGAGAGGACGACCAGCCACACUGGAACUGAGACACGGGUCCAGACUCCUACGGGAGGCAGCAGUGGGGAAUUUUGGACAAUGGACGCAAGUCUGAUCCAGCCAUUCCGCGUGCAGGAUGAAGGCCCUCGGGUUGUAAACUGCUUUUGUACGGAACGAAAAGGUCUCUCUUAAUAACGGGGGGCUCAUGACGGUACCGUAAGAAUAAGCACCGGCUAACUACGUGCCAGCAGCCG
rnacentral:rRNA from 1 species